UGAGUGAUUGUCUUGUGAAUUAAGAAUUUGGUCUUCAUGCUAUUGUCAAUCUAUGCAGACAAAUAGCAGGGGCUUGAUAAAGACACAUUAUCGAGCUUGUUGCUUUAGACUUUAGACAUAGACGCCCAAUUAUUAUCGGCCCUACUCUCUUUGUUGACUAUUGGGCGAAGCCCACAGAACUAUAGGCUCCAAGGUCCCAACUCCAACGUCCUAACCCCAUGGCUGGAUGGUGGAUCCAGUCAUGCAGUACAAGCAUUGAAGUGGCAUAGCUUUAGAUGGUAGUGAAAGAAGAAGAAGAGUAGUUGUGUUGUCUUGCCGGCUUUGAAUGAUAGGUUCCUUCGAAAGUUGGAAAGAAAUGUUGUUCAGAUUUUUCUUAUUAGAUAUUCUUACAUUCCCUCGCAAAAACUAUUACUUCCUUAAGUUUAUCAAUUGCGGGGAUUUUCUGCUCUGAUUUUUCACAAAAAUCUGCGUCCCAAGGCACUCAUAAUUCCAUUGUAGUAGAGUACAAACUUGGAAAUGCAUCCAGCUGGACCAGGGGGACCUGCUGUGGUCCCAGACCAGGUGGACCGUGGUGGCCAGGGGUGGUUUUUUUGGACGACUUGCUGAAGGUUUAAGCGGCAUGGUAUCUUCUCUGUUAUAUUGCUUGUGCUGUUGUUGGUUGAUACAAGAUUUGCUUUGGUGGACCUUGUCGUCCCACCCCACUACUCUGAUCCUCUGUUGAUUCAUUCCUUCUGUAAACUUGCAGUUGCACAGUGGCUAUUUCGUUUCUUCUCCUCUUACAGUUUCUUAAAUUGUUGUUUACCCUCUAGCUUUAAUACAUGGUCAAUUUUUAAGGAUCCUUAUGACCUCAUCCAGGGCCUUAAGAUGUAUGACAUCAUCAGUUAUGUUUAUUUAUAUUAAUUUUGAACGAA